rnacentral:rRNA from 1 species
AGUGAACGCUGGCGGUAGGCCUAACACAUGCAAGUCGAACGGAAGCACAGUAAGAGCUUGCUCUUACGGGUGGCGAGUGGCGGACGGGUGAGGAAUACAUCGGCAUCUACUUUUUCGUGGGGGAUAACGUAGGGACACUUACGCUACUACCGCAUACGAUCUACGGGUGAAAGCAGGGGAUCUUCGGACCUUGCGCGAUUGAAUGAGCCGAUGUCGGAUUAGCUAGUUGGCAGGGUAAAGGCCCACCAAGGCGACGAUACGUAGCUGGUCUGAGGGGAUGAUCAGCCACACUGGAACUGAGACACGGUCCAGACUCCUACGGGAGGCAGCAGUGGGGAAUAUUGGACAAUGGGCGCAAGCCUGAUCCAGCCAUACCGCGUGAGUGAAGAAGGUCUUCGGGUUGUAAAGCCCUUUUGUUGGGAAAGAAAAGCAGCAUGUUAAUACCCCGAUGUUCUGACGGUACCUAAAGAAUAAGCACCGGCUAACUUCGUG